GUUUCAGUCCCAUAAUGUUGUGCUCAUGAGUGGCGCAGCGGUCUUAAGGCACUGCAUCUCAGUGCAAGAGGUGUCACUACAGUCCCUGGUUCGAAUCCAGGUGGAAUGGUUUCUGUCCCAUAAUGUUGUUUAUUCCAGGUGGAGUGGUUUCAGUCCCAUAAUGUUGUUUAUUCCAGGUGGAGUGGUUUCAGUCCCAUAAUGUUGUUUAUUCCAGGUGGAAUGGUUUCAGUC